rnacentral:rRNA from 1 species
UACAGAGGGGGCAAGCGUUGUUCGGAAUUACUGGGCGUAAAGCGUACGUAGGCGGCUUUGUAAGUUAGAGGUGAAAGCCCGGGGCUUAACCCCGGAAUUGCCUUUAAGACUGCAUCGCUUGAAUCAUGGAGAGGUGAGUGGAAUUCCGAGUGUAGAGGUGAAAUUCGUAGAUAUUCGGAAGAACACCAGUGGCGAAGGCGACUCACUGGACAUGUAUUGACGCUGAGGUACGAAAGCGUGGGGAGCAAACAGG